rnacentral:tRNA from 1 species
GGUAAACAAUCUCCUCUUAAGCAGGAGUGGAAGUAAUUCCUUAAGAGUUCAAGUCUCUUUGUUCGUA